rnacentral:rRNA from 1 species
UACGGAGGAUGCGAGCGUUAUCCGGAAUCAUUGGGUUUAAAGGGUCCGUAGGCGGGCUAAUAAGUCAGGGGUGAAAUCGUUCAGCUCAACUGAGCAACUGCCUUUGAAACUGUUAGUCUUGAAUAGUUGUGAAGUAGUUGGAAUGUGUAGUGUAGCGGUGAAAUGCUUAGAGAUUACACAGAACACCGAUAGCGAAGGCAUAUUACUAACAAUUGAUUGACGCUGAUGGACGAAAGCGUGGGGAGCGAACAGG